AACACGUUGGCCUAAUGGAUAUGGCGUUGGCCUCCGGAGUUAAAGAUUGUGGGUUCGAUUCCCAUCAGGAUCGUGUUU